AAUGAUUUCUACUAAAUAUAAAGAGGGUGUCAAGUACUUCUGUGAUUAUGCUUUUGAAAAUGUGGCACUCUAGUUCAAGGAUGGACUCAUUGUCCUAAUAAGAGAUGUGUCAAUAGAGAAAUACUUGAUAGGGAUACAAUAAUUGUCCAUUUAUAUUAGAGUGGAUUUAUGCCAAACUACAAACAUUGAUACCUGCAUGGG
rnacentral:lncRNA from 1 species